AUCCCCCUUUCAUUGUGGCCACCCUGCUUGUCAUCACCGCCAUUUUCCUCGAGUCACAUUUUCCCGUUGUGUAAUUGUGUAAUAGCCCCCAGAAAUGGCCCAAAGCAAGUUAAAUGACUUGGCCGGCAAGUUCGGCAAAGGGGGUCCUCCUGGACUCGGCCUCGGCCUGAAACUUCUAGCCGUUGGAGGCGCCGCUGCUUACGGAAUCUCUCAAGCCAUGUAUACCGUCGAAGGGGGUCACCGUGCGAUCAUGUUCAACCGCAUUGGGGGCGUACAAAAGGAUAUCUACACUGAGGGGCUACAUUUUCGCGUGCCGUGGUUCCAAUACCCCAUCAUUUACGAUAUUCGGUCAAGACCACGCAAAAUCUCCUCACCAACGGGGUCAAAAGACUUGCAAAUGGUUAAUAUUUCCCUGAGGGUGCUUUCGAGGCCUAAUGCGAGUCAAUUGCCGAUUGUUUAUAGACAGUUGGGGCUUGAUUACGAUGAAAAAGUCCUGCCUUCGAUUUGUAAUGAGGUUUUGAAGUCGGUGGUUGCGAAAUUUAACGCCGCCCAAUUAAUUACACAAAGACAACAAGUGUCGCUUUUGGUUAGGAGGGAAUUGACUGAGAGGGCGCAGGAUUUUAACAUAAUUCUCGAUGAUGUUUCGAUUACUGAACUGUCGUUCGGGAAAGAGUACACAGCUGCUGUUGAAGCCAAACAAGUGGCGCAACAGGAGGCCCAAAGGGCUGCUUUCAUAGUCGAAAAGGCCAAACAAGAGAGACAACAGAAGAUUGUGCAAGCUGAGGGUGAAGCCGAAGCCGCCAAAAUGUUAGGUGAAGCAAUUUCCAGAAAUCCAGGCUACUUGAAAUUGAGGAAAAUCCGAGCGGCCCAGAAUAUUUCACGAACUAUUGCUAAUUCGCAAAACAAAGUCUACCUCAGUGGCAACAGCCUACUGCUGAAUAUUUCUGAUAAGGAGUUCGAUGAUCAGUCUGACAAACUCAAACGUAAGGAUUGAGUCUAGUUUUAAGUCAGUAGUGAGUGAAAAUUUUUAUAUCGGAAGAAUAUUUCUUUGUUACUAUUUGUAAAAAUAUUCCUAAGUCCCAAAUAAAUGCGUUUUGAGUACGAUGUCACAACGGGAAGUACUGAUAAAAGUGUGCUGAGGACAGCACGGAAAGUGGCAACACGAAUUGCAGGAUAAAGUGAUGUUUGGACUCUUGUAGAUUUUAUAUUUUGGUUAUUAUUGUCCAAUAAAGGCUUUUGUUUAUUAA